rnacentral:tRNA from 1 species
GGCCCAUUAGCUCAGUUGGUUAGAGCGUCGAUUUUCAUUUUUGUUUAUUUCCCAUUUCUUAAUUUUAUUUUUUUUAAUUAAGCUAGGUAGAUCGUCGUGCUAAUAACGCGAAGGUCGCGGGUUCGAUCCCCCCAUGGGCCA